UUUAUUGAGAGUUUGAUCCUGGCUCAGGACGAACGCUGGCGGCGUGCUUAACACAUGCAAGUCGAGCGAUGAAGUUCCUUCGGGAACGGAUUAGCGGCGGACGGGUGAGUAACACGUGGGUAACCUGCCUCAUAGAGGGGAAUAGCCUUUCGAAAGGAAGAUUAAUACCGCAUAAGAUUGUAGUGCCGCAUGGCAUAGCAAUUAAAGGAGUAAUCCGCUAUGAGAUGGACCCGCGUCGCAUUAGCUAGUUGGUGAGGUAACGG
rnacentral:rRNA from 1 species